UGGUCCUCCUUCAUUCGCUCAUCUAUCACAAUUGUUGAAUGUGUCGUGUACAUUCAAGUUGCUAACGGAUACGGAGAAUAAGGGUUUGGUUCCGGAGAGGGAGCAUGAGAAAUGGCUACUACAUCUAAGGGUGGCAGCAGGCGCGAAAAUUGCCCAAUACAGACUCUGUGAGGCAGUGACAAAAAAUAACAAUAGAAACGUCAAUAUUGGCGAUUCUAAUUGGAAUGAGAACAAGAUAAAAUUUUUAACGAGAAACAAGAAGAGGGCAAGUCUGGUGCCAGCAGCCGCGGUAAUACCAGCUCUUCUAGCAUAUAUUAAAAUUGCUGCAGUUAAAACGCUCGUAGUUUGAAUUAUUUUCCACCGCAAUUUAUUUGGGGUGGGGAAUCGUGGUCACGGGGCGCAGCCGCAAGGCGCGUGCCGGAGGCGGCGAAAGAAAAAUCUCCAUCCCCGGUGUGAAAAUUUAAAAAAGACUUGGGUGCUGGGGCUUGCAUUAAUUUGUGCCCCCACCAAAUAACCAUGAACAAAAAUUAUUGCUCAAAGAAGGACGCGAUGUCUAUUGAGAUUUCAGCAUGGGAUUAUGAAAUAGGGAAAGAGCGGGUGUCAAAGCCUUCUGGGGUAAAUUUAUGCGUGACGGCAUGCAUGGGGUAACAGCCGUGUUGCGGGCGCGCCCUGGGCUCUUUCAAUGGUUAAUGAGGACGAUGCGUGGAAGUUCAUAUUAAAAUGUCAGAGGUGAAAUUCUUGGAUUAUUUUAAGAUGAACAUCAGCGAAGGCAUCCUUCAAGUGCGUGCCUGUCAAUCAAGAACGAAAGUUGGGGGAUCGAAGACGAUCAGAUACCGUCGUAGUCUCAACAGUAAACUAUGCCGACUAUGAAUUGGAUAUCGUUUUAAGAGGUAUAUGUUUGCAGCGUGUCCGCAAGGGCCCUGCCGCCUCUGAUGACUUCUCCAGCGCAUUACAAGAAAUUAAGAGUUUUUGGGUUCCGGGGGGAGUAUAGUCGCAAGGCCGAAACUUAAAGGAAUUGACGAAGGGCACCACCAGGUGUGGAGCCUGCGGCUUAAUUUGACCCAACACGGGGAAACUUACCAGGUCCAAACAGCGUGAGGAUUGACAGAUUGAUAGCUCUUUCAUGAUUCGUUGGGUGGUGGUGCAUGGCCGUUUUUAGUUGGUGGUGUGAGUUGUCUGGUUGAUUCCGUUAACGAACGAGACCUUUGUUGUAUAAUAGGAGGCACUAGUAU
rnacentral:rRNA from 1 species